UAUCAAUAAGCGGAGGAAAAGAAACCAACAGGGAUUGCCCCAGUAACGGCGAGUGAAGCGCAACAGCUCAAAUUUGNNAUCUGGNNUCCCCCCGCGGGGCCCGAGUUGUAAUUUGAAGAGGAUGNUUCUGGCAAGGUGCNGUCCGAGUUCCCUGGAACGGGACGCCGCAGAGGGUGAGAGCCCCGUACGGUCGGACGCCGAGCCUCUGUGAAGCUCCUUCGACGAGUCGAGUAGUUUGGGAAUGCUGCUCAAAAUGGGAGGUAAACCCCUUCUAAAGCUAAAUACCGGCCAGAGACCGAUAGCGCACAAGUAGAGUGAUCGAAAGAUGAAAAGCACUUUGAAAAGAGAGUUAAAAAGCACGUGAAAUUGUUGAAAGGGAAGCGCUUGCGACCAGACUCGCGCCCGUNGGAUCAGCCGUCGCUCGUCGGCGGCGCACUCCGGCGGGCUCGGGCCAGCAUCAGUUCGCCUCGGGGGGAGAAAGGCNGCGGGAAUGUGGCUCUACGGAGUGUUAUAGCCCGCCGCGUAAUACCCCCGGGCGGACUGAGGACCGCGCGUAUGCAAGGAUGCUGGCGUAAUGGUCGUCAGCGACCCGUCUUGAAACACGGACCAAGGAGUCGUCCUAAUAUGCGAGUGUACGGGUGUCAAACCCCUCCGCGUAAUGAAAGUGAACGGAGGUGAGAGCUUCGGCGCAUCAUCGACCGAUCCUGAUGUUCUCGGAUGGAUUUGAGUAAGAGCAUAUUGGGCCGGACCCGAAAGAAGGUGAACUAUGCCUGUGUAGGGUAAAGCCAGAGGAAACUCUGGUGGAGGCUCGCAGCGGUUCUGACGUGCAAAUCGAUCGUCAAACAUGGGCAUGGGGGCGAAAGACUAAUCGAACCUUCUAGUAGCU
rnacentral:rRNA from 1 species